UACGUAGGUGGCAAGCGUUGUCCGGAAUUAUUGGGCGUAAAGCGCGCGCAGGCGGUCUUUUAAGUCUGAUGUGAAAUCCCCCGGCUCAACCCGGGAGGGGCAUUGGAAACUGGAAGACUUGAGUGCGAGAGAGAAGAGUGGAAUUCCAUGUGUAGAGGUGAAAUGCGUAGAGAUAUGGAGGAACACCAGUGGCGAAGGCGGCUCUGUGGCUCACAACUGACGCUGAGGCGCGAAAGCGUGGGGAGCAAACAGG
rnacentral:rRNA from 1 species